rnacentral:lncRNA from 1 species
UAAAUCAGCUAGUAUUUAAAUGAGGAUUCGAUAUUAUUAAGUGUCAACCAGGAUAUAGUAUAUCAAAAAGAAGCUAUAAGUUCAAGUAAGUGUUGAAUCCUUAUUUUAUUAAUGAAAUAAUAUUUUACAGAAUUGUACAUUUUGAAAUAUAGAUUAUUCAUAUAUACAUGUUAAAAAAUAAUCAAGGGCGUGCAAAGAAAUAGAACAAUUAUUUGAAGAAGUAAAAUUAAGAUAGUAAAUCGUUCGGGUAAUCACAUAAUCAAAAACCCCAUGAGGGCCCUCUAUUAUGUGCAAGCUUUUAUUUCAAUUAAAGAACGUUAUCCGCAAAGUUUCAAGCAAAACGACACAACUGUCCGUUCAUUUCAGUGAUUAGUGGGCGUAACUUCUGAGUGCUCUUACUGCCAUUUGAAAAAAAAAAACUUUUAAAAAAAUAACUAAAAUCUUUAAAAAUAAAAUGUUUGUUUUGCUAAUUUAAAAACUGAUAUAAAACGAAAUAGUCUAUAUCAUAUCAGUAUAAAAAAUCGGUAAUGGUGUUCUCUCUCAUUAAAACACAACCACGCCUACCUCUCUUUUCAUGGAAUGAUGAAAAACAAUUACUUUUGAUAAAAGAUGAUAGCUGGUUUAUAUUGUUGUUCUUAAAAUAUUACCUGGUGCAAAUAGACCAGAAACGCAAUUUUCUAUUGUGUAGUGGAGUUUCAAAUUAAAUUAACUUGAAAUCUUUUUUCACUUGCUGGGUUUAAGUUUUCGCCGUAGACUUCCCUUUUCAGUGAUAGGUUCUUAGAUAUUCUUAUGUUCUUACCGCCCCUUUUCAUAUACCCUACAAUGUUCCAGAAUGACACAAUUCCUUGUGAUACUAUAUCAUAACGAGGUUAUACAUUUCUUUUCAGGCAAUACGUCAUGAGCUUUACAAAAAUUCUACAGAGGACAAUUCAAGGCCAGACACCUCGCCAAUUGUCCUACUUUAUGCCAGUGUACGAGUCCUAUAGCAGAAAAACUGAAAAGAAACAUAUACAGUCUGUGUUUAACACUGCGGAAUUCACCUAUUUCCAUGUUUCCUCUGGCAAUAGGAGAUACAAGCCUGUAAAUAACAAAACACAGCACAACAAAUGGACCACUGUAAAUAACAAAGACUCUGACCGGCGACAGAAUAUGCCGACUGGACGGACCAAAAGUUAGAAAUUGAAGGAUCCUUUACUAUAUCUCCGAUAACAGUUUUAUUAGACAUAGAAAAUUAAUCUUUCGUACAGAUAAAGACAAUAUCUUGAAAACAUUUUUUGUGUGUUUAUAUUAAUUGGACAAAACAAGAACAAAAUGCAUUUUUCGAAAUGCUGUUAAACUCGUAAAUACUCUCAGUCUUUCAAUUGAACAUAAAACUUUCUUUGUAUAUAUAUUUAAUUUAUUUGUUAGUUCGCAAUAAUUUCGUUAAUGUCUUUAUUAUGAUGAGUUGUUAUUAUAAGUGUUACCAUGUUGUCUUUUUUAAAAUAUGUUAAUGUUAAAAUAUGUGUUAUUUAUAAUAGCUGUAUAGCAAUAAACUUGACUUGUGAUUGAAUUAAACGCAUUUAUCCUGUACUUGAUAAAUUUGUUGAUACACCUCACAAGUAACAAUUUUGAGAAGAAAAAUAAAUAGGAAGAGCAUAUAAAUAAACAAAGCCAAAUUAGUAUAUAUUACUCAAAGUAAUAGCUUAACAACAUUUGAUCUGUAAAUAUACACACCAUUUAUCAGUACACGAAUCAUUUUUUGUAUUUUCACUAGCAAAUAAAUAUAGCAUAGUUAAUCUAGCUUUUUUUCUUCUUAUUUCUAAACUUCCUAUUCUAAAGAUUUUAUUAAGUUGGAAACUGCUCCAGGUGAUCUGUCUUUAUAAUCGUUAAAGACAAAUCUGGCUGCCUUACACUGUACCUGCUCAACCUGAGUGAUGUGUUGCUUUUUGUACUGAUCCCAGACAGGAAAAGAGUAUUCGACGACUGGAAGGACAAGUCAUGUGUACGUUACGUGUGCAGUUUUUCAAGUUCCUUCGAAGAAAACCUUAGACAAAAUUUGCCUUACAGGUAAUAUUAUUUAAUAUGUGUGUUCCCCUAUCAUGCAAGAUCAUGGCUUAUAGUUACAC